UGUUCUGUGGCGGAGUUGGUUAACGCGCCCUGUCUAGUGAACUUGGGAAGAAGCGGGUUCAAGCCUCACCAGAACUA
rfam:Aedes albopictus isolate Foshan contig24547, whole genome shotgun sequence.